CGAACGCUGGCGGCGUGCUUAAUACAUGCAAGUCGAACGCGAAUCCCCGGCUUGCCGGGGUAGUAGAGUGGCGAAUGGGUGAGUAACACGUAAGUAACCUACCCCUAAGUUUGGCAUAAUUCGCCGAAAGGCGGACUAAUACCGGAUGUGGUUUCGAUUCUGUAGAGGAAUUGAAAUUAAAGGUGGCCUCUGAUUCAAGCUAUCGCUUAGGGAUGGGCUUGCGGCCUAUCAGCUAGUUGGUAGGGUAAAGGCCUACCAAGGCAAAGACGGGUAGCCGGCCUGAGAGGGUGAACGGCCACAUGGGGACUGAGACACGGCCCCGACUCCUACGGGAGGCAGCAGUAGGGAAUAUUGCGCAAUGGGCGAAAGCCUGACGCAGCGACGCCGCGUGGGGGAUGAAGUUCCUCGGAAUGUAAACCCCUUUUCGGAAGGAAGAAAAGGUAAUGGUUAAAACCCAUUACCCCUGACGGUACUUCUG
rnacentral:rRNA from 1 species